AUGAACGCUAGCUACAGGCUUAACACAUGCAAGUCGAGGGGCAGCAUGGUCUUAGCUUGCUAAGGCCGAUGGCGACCGGCGCACGGGUGAGUAACACGUAUCCAACCUGCCGUCUACUCUUGGACAGCCUUCUGAAAGGAAGAUUAAUACAAGAUGGCAUCAUGAGUCCGCAUGUUCACAUGAUUAAAGGUAUUCCGGUAGACGAUGGGGAUGCGUUCCAUUAGAUAGUAGGCGGGGUAACGGCCCACCUAGUCUUCGAUGGAUAGGGGUUCUGAGAGGAAGGUCCCCCACAUUGGAACUGAGACACGGUCCAAACUCCUACGGGAGGCAGCAGUGAGGAAUAUUGGUCAAUGGGCGAGAGCCUGAACCAGCCAAGUAGCGUGAAGGAUGACUGCCCUAUGGGUUGUAAACUUCUUUUAUAAAGGAAUAAAGUCGGGUAUGGAUACCCGUUUGCAUGUACUUUAUGAAUAAGGAUCGGCUAACUCCGUGCCAGCAGCCGCGGUAAUACGGAGGAUCCGAGCGUUAUCCGGAUUUAUUGGGUUUAAAGGGAGCGUAGAUGGAUGUUUAAGUCAGUUGUGAAAGUUUGCGGCUCAACCGUAAAAUUGCAGUUGAUACUGGAUAUCUUGAGUGCAGUUGAGGCAGGCGGAAUUCGUGGUGUAGCGGUGAAAUGCUUAGAUAUCACGAAGAACUCCGAUUGCGAAGGCAGCCUGCUAAGCUGCAACUGACAUUGAGGCUCGAAAGUGUGGGUAUCAAACAGGAUUAGAUACCCUGGUAGUCCACACGGUAAACGAUGAAUACUCGCUGUUUGCGAUAUACUGCAAGCGGCCAAGCGAAAGCGUUAAGUAUUCCACCUGGGGAGUACGCCGGCAACGGUGAAACUCAAAGGAAUUGACGGGGGCCCGCACAAGCGGAGGAACAUGUGGUUUAAUUCGAUGAUACGCGAGGAACCUUACCCGGGCUUAAAUUGCAGAUGAAUUACGGUGAAAGCCGUAAGCCGCAAGGCAUCUGUGAAGGUGCUGCAUGGUUGUCGUCAGCUCGUGCCGUGAGGUGUCGGCUUAAGUGCCAUAACGAGCGCAACCCUUGUUGUCAGUUACUAACAGGUUCCGCUGAGGACUCUGACAAGACUGCCAUCGUAAGAUGUGAGGAAGGUGGGGAUGACGUCAAAUCAGCACGGCCCUUACGUCCGGGGCUACACACGUGUUACAAUGGGGGGUACAGAGGGCCGCUACCACGCGAGUGGAUGCCAAUCCCCAAAACCUCUCUCAGUUCGGACUGGAGUCUGCAACCCGACUCCACGAAGCUGGAUUCGCUAGUAAUCGCGCAUCAGCCACGGCGCGGUGAAUACGUUCCCGGGCCUUGUACACACCGCCCGUCAAGCCAUGAAAGCCGGGGGUACCUGAAGUGCGUAACCGCGAGGAGCGCCCUAGGGUAAAACUGGUGACUGGGGCU
rnacentral:rRNA from 1 species